AACGAACGCUGGCGGCAGGCCUAACACAUGCAAGUCGAACGCCGUAGCGAUACGGAGUGGCAGACGGGUGAGUAACGUGUGGGAACAUACCCCUCGGUUCGGAAUAACUCAGGGAAACUUGAGCUAAUACCGGAUACGUCCAAGGUUUUAAUCGACCUUGGAGAAAGAUUUAUCGCCGGAGGAUUGGCCCGCGUCUGAUUAGCUUGUUGGUGAGGUAAUGGCUCACCAAGGCGACGANCAGUAGCUGGUCUGAGAGGAUGAUCAGCCACAUUGGGACUGAGACACGGCCCAAACUCCUACGGGAGGCAGCAGUGGGGAAUAUUGGACAAUGGGCGAAGCCUGAUCCAGCCAUGCCGCGUGAGUGAUGAAGGCCUUAGGGUUGUAAAGCUCUUUACCCGGGAAGAUAAUGACGGUACCGGGAGAAUAAGCCCCGGCUAACUUCGUGCCAGCAGCCGCGGUAAC
rnacentral:rRNA from 1 species